AUGCUGAUGUGCCGUAGUAUAGACAUUUUUUCAUCUCACUUACUCAUUACUCAGUCCAAGGACCCAGUGGUGAGGAGGGUUGCACCCACAGUUAACGCAGGGAGGAAAUGGAAACCAAAACAAGCGGUCCAGCAAGCUCAAUCGGCACUUAGACAUAGAAAUAUUAUGGGCCAUGUUCAGCACGGGCGGGGGGGCUUAGGGAGGGACGUAGGUAAACCCUCGUGGGGUAAGGCUUCUGCAGGGGAAAGGAGAAAAAUGGUAGUGGAGGAAAUACAUAGGCAGGAGGAGAUUGUAAGAUGUACUAAGGCAGUGUCACAGGCAAAACAAGGGCAGUGGGUGAAUUGGGAGGGAGUGGAGAAGAAGAAGAUAAAGUGGAGAGAUCUAUGGAGCAUGGAGGCUAGCAGGAUCAGAUUUAUGAUAGGUGCCACUUAUGAUGUGCUCCCAUCUCCCCAGAACUUAAAUCAGUGGUAUGGUGAGGAUGAGACAUGCACACUAUGUUCCUGUGUAUGCAGCGUCCGCCAUAUCCUAUCAGGGUGCAAGGUAAGUCUCUCCCAGGGGCGGUAUACGUGGCGUCACAACCAGGUAUUGAAAUGUUUGGCAGAGGCUGUUGAUGAUAAACGGGGCGAAGCUAAUUCAUCAGCCGCUAGUAAAGAGGGUAGGCAAAUUAACUUUGUGCAUCAGGGGGAAAAGGCUAGACCAUUUAGAGGCAGGCACAGAGUCGGGCAGCUAAGUAAUGGAGGAGCCUGGGAAUUGAAGGCGGAUCUUAUUCAGCAGGUUGUUGUGCCUCCACACAUUGUUAGCACUCGGCUAAGACCAGAUAUGCUAUUGUGGUCAGACUUAGAGAAGAUUGUUUAUUUUAUUGAACUUACAGUUCCUUGGGAAGACAGAGUUGAAGUAGCUAAUGAGCUUAAGAAAGCGAAGUAUGCUGAGAUGGCUGAAGAGGCAGCACAGAGAGGCUGGAGUUCGCGACUAAGGCCUAUUGAAAUCGGUGCACGGGGGUUUGUGGCUAGAUCUGCUAUUAGCUUGCUGACUGAACUGGGUAUUUGUGGACGAAGUCUGAGGCAGGCGGUUAGUAACAUGUCCGUGGCAGCAGAACGAGCAAGUGAAUGGCUGUGGGUAAGGAGAAAACAUACUUCCUGGGGUGCAAGCUGA
rnacentral:lncRNA from 1 species